GAUGAACGCUGGCGGCGUGCCUAAUACAUGCAAGUCGAGCGAACAGACGAGGAGCUUGCUCCUCUGACGUUAGCGGCGGACGGGUGAGUAACACGUGGAUAACCUACCUAUAAGACUGGGAUAACUUCGGGAAACCGGAGCUAAUACCGGAUAAUAUAUUGAACCGCAUGGUUCAAUAGUGAAAGACGGUUUUGCUGUCACUUAUAGAUGGAUCCGCGCCGCAUUAGCUAGUUGGUAAGGUAACGGCUUACCAAGGCAAAGAUGCGUAGCCGACCUGAGAGGGUGAUCGGCCACACUGGAACUGAGACACGGCCCAGACUCCUACGGGAGGCAGCAGUAGGGAAUCUUCCGCAAUGGGCGAAAGCCUGACGGAGCAACGCCGCGUGAGUGAUGAAGGUCUUCGGAUCGUAAAACUCUGUUAUUAGGGAAGAACAAAUGUGUAAGUAACUAUGCACGUCUUGACGGUACCUAAUCAGAAAGCCACGGCUAACUACGUG
rnacentral:rRNA from 1 species